UGCAAGUCGAGCGGAUGAGAGGAGCUUGCUCUUCGAUUCAGCGGCGGACGGGUGAGUAAUGCCUAGGAAUCUGCCUGGUAGUGGGGGACAACGUUUCGAAAGGAACGCUAAUACCGCAUACGUCCUACGGGAGAAAGUGGGGGAUCUUCGGACCUCACGCUAUUAGAUGAGCCUAGGUCGGAUUAGCUAGUUGGUAGGGUAAAGGCCUACCAAGGCGACGAUCCGUAACUGGUCUGAGAGGAUGAUCAGUCACACUGGAACUGAGACACGGUCCAGACUCCUACGGGAGGCAGCAGUGGGGAAUAUUGGACAAUGGGCGAAAGCCUGAUCCAGCCAUGCCGCGUGUGUGAAGAAGGCCUUCGGGUCGUAAAGCACUUUAAGUUGGGAGGAAGGGCUCAUAGCGAAUACCUGUGAGUUUUGACGUUACCAACAGAAUAAGCACCGGCUAACUUCGUGCCAGCAGCCGCGGUAAUACGAAGGGUGCAAGCGUUAAUCGGAAUUACUGGGCGUAAAGCGCGCGUAGGUGGCUUGAUAAGUUGGAUGUGAAAUCCCCGGGCUCAACCUGGGAACUGCAUCCAAAACUGUCUGGCUAGAGUA
rnacentral:rRNA from 1 species